AGGGUAACAAAAUGAAUAUAUGGAGUAAAACUGAAAUUUGCUUUCAAGCUUUUAUAUACUUAUUUUAUGCUGGGAACCAAUCAUAUGUUAGAACUGCGUUGGUCGAUGGGCUAUGCCAUUACCAAUUCUUUUGGAUUAUGUCCUUUAGAAUCAGUAACCCAUCGCCAAGGGGUCACGCCCGAUAGCCAGGCAGAUCCAGCCACGGGUUGGGAACUUUCUCGAGGAUCCCAAGUCUCGUUGUUGGUUUCUUUGUCUAGGUUCCAAAGCCUUAGUUGGGUUUCUUCAUCUUGAUUCCCAAACCUGUUCUAUUUGCAAUCGUUGCAUCAUGGAAUUAAACUGUUCUUGAAUGCUUUGCAGUAGAGUUUCUAGUAAAUUAUACUGUCACCCUGUUCUGGU
rnacentral:lncRNA from 1 species